GAUGAAGACCAGGUCCUCCUUUUGAGUUUCACUGGUCUCAUAACAGCAGUCAUAAAGGGCAUAGCGACAGUCCUUUUCCGGUAGCAUGCUGACAAUCUUUUGGAAGACGUUUUUUUCAUUCUCCAGGUCUUUGUUCUUCAGUGUGGAACUGUGAUCCACGACAAUGGCCUUUUGGUCUUCACUCAGGCGCAUUAUCACUAGUUUUAACCGCUCCUUUUCAUCAUAACCAUGAUGGCGCACUCUAAUUUCAUUAUAAAGUUCAACCACCUCAUCGCUUAUAAUCACACCAGAAGCCUGGAUAGUAAGGAAAGAACAAUUUUGCAUCAUUUGAAAGGUAGAAACAGUCUUCUGGGCGGUAAGCUGACCGGAGGAUGCUCGUGGAGAAACAAACUUCCACCCUUAACCUCUAAUUCUUCAGAGAGGAGGCGGUGCACCCUUUGCUGCCCAGAGAUGGGAAACACUGCAGUCCACCAUUAAAUAGUGUUCCAAGUUGCAGGCUGAUCCUGACCUCAACUCUGCCCCGCCGAGACACACUUUGCGAGAGAAUGUAUGGCAAAGCUGACUGAUGGGCGGGGGAGAGGGACGGAGAGGUGGCUGAGAACAGAGGAGGUAACACACAACACAAAACCAAUCAGGUAGUUCACAUUAUACAGGAACAUACACCCCAGCCUAAUCGCACAGACAACAUUAGACAGCUACAUGACCUCCAAACGCAGCAAGGUGAUGAAAAUGUAUCUUUUCUUAAAUAUGCAGCCUUCCCAUUUACUCAGCUUCCGUGCAUGCCAUUGACAAUACAGGGAAAGAAGAUUAAUUUCCUGGUAGAUUCAGGAGCUACCCAUUCAGUCAUUAAACAGGGAGAAUUGCAUUUACCAUUUGAACUAAGUUCUUGAUCAAUUUGCACAAUUGGGGCAACAGGCCAUUCAGUCGUAGAAAAGUUCUCAAAACCUGUGUCAUGUCAGGAUGAAGAUGGACAGGAGGUGGAGCACUCAUUCCUGAUCUCCUCUUCCUGCCCAGUUAAUUUACUAGGGUGAGAUUUAAUGUGCAAGUUUGGCUUGGUUCUUACAUCAUCCCCAGAAGACAUUACAGUGACAAAUACCACUUUGACGUGUGUUUUACAUGAAUAAAAGCUCCCUGUUUAUGUAUAUGAGUGGAAGCUCUGUCCAGACGCUUUAACUAAUGUAACUCAAUACCUUGUACAGCAAGCACAUGACAGAGUUGUAGCACAUGAUGUUGACUAUAUGGAGCAUGAUGGAAAGGAUGCUGCAUAUGAGAGAAUAUGGUUUAAAGGCACCUGCAAGCGAGAACGUAUUCGCUUUAGAGAUUUAUAUUGGUCAAAAGAAUAUUGUGCAUGUUCUGUUGAAUUACAGUGCUGUACAGACAUUUGUGCCUGGAUUCAAUUGGAGGGCAUAACCAAAUUCCCUAGGUGCUGCCAAAAGGAGCUGUUUGAUGUCCCAUCAUCCACACCCCAUGUUUCUUUAGCCAAACCAAAGGCAGUCCCAUGGAAGGAAGUGGGACAUUGGCUUUGAGGGUGUGUGAGUAAGAAAGCCAACGUCCCACCUCCUUUACUCCCUACAGAGGACGACGGUGAACCACAUGACUGCGUGGCACUUACUAACCAAUUAUGUUCCCCUAGGUUGGACUUUAAGGAUGAACCACUCACGAAUCCAGAUAUGAUUCUGUAUGUGGAUGGGUCAGCAUCACAACACCCAGAAACAGAUAAAAAUCAAGUGGGCUAUGCUGUAGUUUCAGACAAAGAAUUAAUCAUAGCGGGAGCAUUACCUAGACCAGUGGUUCUCAAACUGUGGUACGCGUACCACCGGUGGUACGCGAGCGCGCUCUGGUGGUACGCGGGGGAAAGUCAUAUUUUCGCAUUAACAUUUUCAGCUAAAAAAAAAAAAAAACCUGAAACAUACAGUGCAUAAUAAAUACAACGUUUAAAAAGAAAUGUGUAGCUACGUGUGAGAAUGUGAAAAAUUAUGUCUGGCUUUUACAUUUUUGUGGCAAUGCAAGUCUUCAGGAUUCUUUUUUUGUUCCUUUUUUUGUGCUGAGAUGUUUGAUGUUUCACAUAUCUUCUGCUGAGAAAAAAAGACUUGAUGUUUGUGUUAUCUGUGGGCCAGAUUAGGAGCAUAAUUUUGUAGAGGUCGAAUAUGUACUGUAUGGCUCUGUGCCAUUUUCAUUCGGUUGCAAUUUGAGUGUGUAUUGCGCUGUGUAUGUAGGAGUAUGUGAGAAUUGUUGGACAGAGUUGUAAAUGUCUGAUUCGGUGUUAACAGCGAUCAAUAAAUAACCAUAAUAAGGAAUAAACAUCUCUCCUGUGUGGCUGAAGCUAAUAGGGAAGGCCUAUGCUGCUAUAUUAUAAUGUUGGUCAUCAUGGUGGUACUCAGAGAGCUCAGUAUUUUCUCAGGUGGUACAGAGUAUAAAAAGUUUGAGAACCACUGACCUAGACACUUGUCAGCUCAAGCAGCAGAGCUAUACAGUAUGCCUUGACAGAAGCAUGUAAACAUGCAACAGGUAAAUCAGCCACUACCUACACAGACAGCAGAUAUGCCUUUGGUGUAGUACAUGACUUUGGCACAAUGUGGAAACAUAGAAACUUCCUGACCAGCUCAGGCACACACAUAGCCCACCACAAGUUUGUUUCUGACCUGCUGGAUGCUAUCCUACUCCCAUUUGCUCUUGCUAUAUGCAAGUGCAAUGCACAUACAAACAAAUCUGAUCCAGUCUCUCUAGGUAAUGCAUGAGCUGAUGCAGCAGCAAAACAGGCAGCCACAAGGACCCCAACUUCAUUAAUGCUUUCAACUAACCCUUCUACACCUCCCUUACAGGUUUCUGACCUCCAGCAGCAGAUCACAGCAGAGGAAAAGGCUGCAUGGGGGAAAUAAGGGUGUAAUAUUAAAGAUGGGGUGGCACGGUAGUGUAGUGGUUAGCGCUGUCGCCUCACAGCAAGAAGGUCCGGGUUCGAGCCCCGUGGCCAGCGAGGACCUUUCUGUGCGGAGUUUGCAUGUUCUCCCUGUGUCCACGUGGGUUUCCUCCGGGUGCUCCGGUUUCCCCAACAGUCCAAAGACAUGCAUGUUAGGUUAACUGGUGACUGUAAAUUGACCGUAGGUGUGAAUGGUUGUCUGUGUCUAUGUGUCAGCCCUGUGAUGACCCGGCGACUUGUCCAGGGUGUACCCCGCCUUUUGCCCGUAGUCAGCUGGGAUAGGCUCCAGCUUGCCUGAGACCCUGUAGAACAGGAUAAAGUGGCUAGAGAUGAUGAGAUGAGAUGAGAUGAGAUAUUAAAGAUGGGGUCUAGGCAAGCCCAGACGGUCGACCUUGUCUCCCCAAAUACAUGUUUCCAUAUUACGCUAAGUUGACACACGGGAAAGACCAUGUGUCAAAAGGGAGAAUGAUAGCAUCAGUAACAAAGCAUUGGUUCACUAAAGGAUUCUCUAAUUACUCUUAAAAUUUUUGUCAAAAAUGUCUUGUAUGCGUGCAACACAAUGUAGGAUGAGGGCUAAAAUUAAAGCAGGCUGCGCACACAACCCCAAAUAGCCCCUUUGACCAUCUACAAAUGGACUUCAUUGAACUCUCACCUAGUGAGGGGAAAAGGUAUUGCUUGGUGAUGGUUGAUAUGUUCUCCAAGUGGAUAGAAGUUUUCCCUACAGCAAAAUAGGACUCAGACACAGUGGCCAAGGCCCUCCUACGAGAUAUUAUUUCCCCAAUGGGGCAUUCCAAGGAAGAUUUCCACUGAUAACGGCACGCCAUUUAUAAGCCAGGUGCUGAAACAAUUGGGUAACUAUCUGGGAAUAGACUUGAGACAACAUUGUGCAUACCAUCCUGCUAGUGGAGGAGCAGUAGAAAGGGAGAAUGGGACAUUGAAGAAUAAACUGAGCAAAUGCUGUGCUGAAACAGGACUAGGGUGGACAAAGGUCCUACCCAUAGUAUUAAUGCAGAUGAGAAUGAGAGAAAGACCAAAGUAUGAUUUGAGCCCCUUUGAGAUAUUGUUUGGAAGACCCCCAAACACAGGGAUAGGUCCCAUUACACCAGGAUGCCCUGACAUAUCCUUAUGUGAUGAUGUGAUGUUGAAUUACUGUGCAACCCUCUCUUCUGCUCUGAAUAAUAUUCACAAACAGGUGAGGGCAGCCUUACCAGUCCCGGUGCUGGAACCACUGCAUGACCUGAAACCUGGUGACUGGGUGGUGAUAAAGGACUUCAGAAGGACGAAGUGGAACAAGCCCAGGUGGAUGGGACCAUCCCAAGUACUGCUCACCACAAAGUCAGCUGUAAAGGUGGACAACAGAGCCAUGUGGGUACACGCCAGCUACUGCAGAAGAGUACCUGAACAAAUGGAUAAGCAGCACAAGGAGGGCCUGGUACAGGAAGGACAUUAAGACAGCAUUCCAGAAGCCCUUGGGGGCCUCAUUGCACCAUGAGUGGACACUCUGCUAUCAAGAGGCCCUUAGGGGGACCAACGAACACAAGCAAUGACACAUACACACACACAGCCACAUGACAGAUUGUGCAUUCCAACACAUUCUUCAUUCUGUACCUAAUUGUGAACCUCACACAUGGUAUAAGUGACAAAGAUUAAUGCACAUAUUACAGGAGCAGUGUCUUGCACCACAGGUACUCCAGGUGGCAGACUUCUCAGCUGGAAAGAUAAGAUAGAAAGAGAUCAAACUGUUAACUGGGUUCAUGACAUAUUGACUGAUAAUACCAAUCACAUGGUGGUAGCUGAAAGAAUACAUUCUGACGGCACAUACACUAGCGUACGAUACUUAGCUGAUUUAGGUGACAGGACUAAGGCUACAUCCACACGACAACGGCAACGAGAUGUUAUUUAAAAAUAUAUCGCGUCCAAAUGGGCAACGAUCAGUAAAAUAUCAGGUCCAUAUGGCAACGCAACGCUUGCUGAAAACAAUGCAAUACACAUGCCACACCUCUAGGGGCGCUGUAAGACGGUCCCUUCAGAGACACCAGAACAAUAGAAGUAGUAAGGACGCAUGCGCAUAAACUAUUAUGCGCGAGACUUCAUAUUAGCCACAAAGUCAGGAAAAUCUGUUCGUAAAAUUACAUUAUAAUGACCAAAUACAAUGAAAAGUAUUUUUCCAGUCUCACCUGUGAAAGGUAAUCCCAUGUGAUCUCGUUUGGACGGCAAACCUGUUGGUACAGUUAAACGCAGCUAAUCUUUAUUCUCUGCUUUGACCUCUCCAAUAUGGCGGCGAGGAUGACGUAUGAUUCUACGCGGAAGGCGGCGUCUUUAAUGGUCCGGAAUAAAUUGAAUACUACACGUUGAUAGAUUAAUUUGUUGUUUCUCACCUGUGAAAAGUAAUCCCAUGUGAUCUCGUUUGGACGGUAAACCUGUUGGUACAGUUAAAGGCAGCACAUGAAUCUUUAUUCUCCGCUUUGACCUAUCCAAUAUGGCGGCGAGGAUGACGUAUGAUUCUACGCGGAAGGCGGCGUCUUUAAUGGUCCAGAAUAAAUUGAAUGUUACACGUUGAUGGAUUAAUUUGCUCCUCUACGCCCUUUUUGAGGAAUGUAUUGUCGGACUUAAAUCAACAUCUGAAGAGGUGAGAUCGCUCCUUUUUUUCCCUAUUUUUGCUGGCGGGAUUGACUCUGCCCUAAGGGCAGAGUCUCUCUCUCUCUCUCUCUCUCUCUCUCUCUCACUUUGCACCAUUACACAAUAAAUAUUCACAGUGAAAAUAUUUUGUAAGCGCGUUUCAUGAACCAAGUUAUAGGAUUUGUUGACAACUCACAUCGCAUCGCAAUGAGAAGAUCAUUGGCACUACUGGUGUUAAGAAUCAGACCAUUUCAUAAAUGAAUAUUUUGCUGUAGAGCUGCAGUGUUUGUACAAUUGCAUGUUUUUGCUUCACUAUUACUGUCACUAUUCUGCUUCUUGCAUUACUACUGUGAACUAACACUGAACAUAGUAAUAAUAAUAAUAAUAAUAAUAUCCAAGCUCGUGUUUCACUCUCACUAGUGCUCUGUAAGGCUUUUUCCUGGUGAUAUUCGUUACACUUCUACCCGGCGUAAAGCACUCACAGUCAUGUGGUUGUGACGUCAUCAUAAACAAAUCCGUUCUACUCAUCCAGACGACUUCACAACGGCAACGUUGCCAGAUCUUUCCACUCUGGAACCCAUUCUCAAAAAGAUUGCGUUUUGGGCACCCAAAACGCCGGUGCCGUGUGGACGCCAGGCCUAAACGAUAAGCAAUUGUAUCGGAGUCACCUGAAUCCGUUGCCGUGUGGACAAGGCCUAUGUGCCUUAGGCGUAGAGACUUCUAUAGAAAACACCCAACACCACGUAGUUUGUUGACUGACUACUGCCACAGGCUGGACGGUGGCUAAUAGGUUGACAAGCACGUAUCUUCAGGUGAUUAUGACCCAUACAAUGACCAACCUGACUUGUAUCAUGAGCCAGAUUGGGUUGCAGACCCCCCCCAGAGGACCAUGACGAUGAUGAUCCUCUGACCGCAGUAGCAAAACUCUUGUAGAAGAAAGGACAGUUAGGUUUAAGAAAGACGUUUCCAUCUACUGACUAUGCUUGCUCAAUACCUUAGAGUGCUUUACACUGGGAAAAACAGCUUUAGCAUUAUUUCCUCAUGACACGCCUCAUGAAAGGCCUGGUUGAAUUGUCUUGAAUUCCAGGCGGCAUAUCUGUUGUCAUGAACUACCACGAUUUCAUUUUGUUUGACAGUAUAUAGAUUAUAGAUCUAAUGCUAUGUUAUCAUUUACAUGAUAAAAGGGGGAAUUGUAGAGUAAAUUUUAGUGUCAUACUGUUUUGUAAUUUUCCUUUUCACUGAAUGUUGCCUCUUCAAGGACUAAUGACUUAGAACAUUCUGCACCGAAACAUGUUCAUCUUAUCAUGCUCAUUACGUGCAUAGCAGAUGUGCGUACAAGCCAGCAAUUAGAGAAGAUCCAAUCAGCUUGAGAGCUGAUCACACUCCCAGAGUAAAGAGAUUUGAAAACAAAGGGACAGUAUAAAUGGUGUGCCGAACCCUCAUCAUUAUAUGUCCGUUUCUGCAAUAAACCUUCUUCCACUUGCAAAAGGACGAGACUGGUGUU